rnacentral:rRNA from 1 species
AACGUAGGUGGCAGGCGUUAUCCGGAAUUACUGGGCGUAAAGGGUGUGCAGGCGGGGAAGCAAGUGGUGUAUGAAAUCUCCCAGCUUAACUGGGAUAGGUUAUGCCAUACUGCUUUUCUAGAGGACGAGAGAGGGGGGUGGAAUUCCGGGUGUAGUGGUGAAAUGCGUAGAGAUCCGGAGGAACCCCAGAGGCGAAGGCGGCCCCCUGGCUCGUACCUGACGCUCAGCCACGAAAGCAUGGGGGAGCGAACGGG